GAUGAACGCUGGCGGCGUGCUUAACACAUGCAAGUCGAACGAAACACCUCAUUUGAUUUUCUUCGGACCUGAGGCGAUGGUGUUUGUGUGACGGACGGGUCCGUACCGCGAGGGUAACAUGCCCUGUACAGACGGAUAACAGUAAGAAAUAACUGCUACUACCGCAUAAGACCACAGCACCGCAUGGUGCAGGGGUGAAAUGACUGGUGGUACAGGAUGGACCCGCGUCGGAUUAGCUGGUGGGUGAGGUAUCGGCGCACCAUGGCGGCGAUGAGUAGCCGGCGUGAGAACGGGAACGACUGCAAUUGGGCUGAGGCACAGCCCAAACUCCGACGGGAGGCAGCAGUGUGUAAUAUUGCAGAAUGGAGGAAACCCUGGUGCAGCGACGCCGCGGGAGUGAAGAAGUAGGUCGUUAUGUGAAUCCCUAUCAGCAGGAAAGAAAAUGACGGUACCUGAUAAAGAAGCCCCGGCUAACUACGUG
rnacentral:rRNA from 1 species